rnacentral:rRNA from 1 species
GCCUGCGGGUUGUAAACCCUCUUUCAGCAGGGAAGAAGCGCAAGUGACGGUACCUGCAGAAGAAGCGCCGGCUAACUACGUGCCAGCAGCCGCGGUAAUACGUAGGGCGCAAGCGUUGUCCGGAAUUAUUGGGCGUAAAGAGCUCGUAGGCGGCUUGUCGCGUCGGAUGUGAAAGCCCGGGGCUUAAGCCCGGGUCUGCAUUCGAUACGGGCAGGCUAGAGUUCGGUAGGGGAGAUCGGAAUUCCUGGUGUAGCGGUGAAAUGCGCAGAUAUCAGGAGGAACACCGGUGGCGAAGGCGGAUCUCUGGGCCGAUACUGACGCUGAGGAGCGAAAGCGUGGGGAGCGAACAGGAUUAGAU